AUCAGAGGCCUAGUGCCCCAGUACCCUCACAUGGCCCCCUCUUCAAGUCCUUUCCCCUAGACCCUAAUCUCAGAGGAUCUGGACUAUAUAGCUGCUCCGCAGACUAGAUCUUGUCCUGACCUUAAAAGCUUGUUGCUUUUGUAGUGAAAUGCAAUGUAAUGUUAAUGGCUCCAUACUGGCACAGCAGCAGAUAUUUCACUGUUCUGACUUGGCCGUGUCUUACAAUUUUAGGCUAUGCAAGCAGUAAGCCCACAGCAAAAUGGAACCCAGUGACUCCAAAAGGACUGGAUGAGCAUGGCUUUUUGUGAUGAAUGUUGCAGUAUUGGGUCUAAUAUGGAGGGGAAGUCUUGAGAUGGAUGCCAAAGAACACUUGUGGGAAAUAGAUCCUAAAACCUCAGAUAAAAGGAACAUUGCCAAAUCGUUAACCUGGUUAUUGUGUACAUAUAAACAAACUAGUAUGUAAGCCAUAAAUGUAGUGGAAGCUGAAUGAUCCCUCCUCUGUUCAGCUCUGGUGUGGAGUCGCUCCCUCAGACGGCCACCAGAGGUCAGUAUGCACCUUUACUUCUUGCACCUAUACUCCUCUUCGCUUGCUAACAUGGUUGGCCAAUUUCUAUGCUUUAACUCAAGUGGUACAAAUAAUGUAUGAAAUACCUUUGCAUAAGGCUUGUCUAAAAGAUGAGUCUAAAUAUUAUUUGUUCCCUCAAGCUUUACUGUUAUGUUGUAGUUUGUACAUACUUGUCAGAUGUUUAUUUAUGGAGUGCCUUUCCAAGUUUUUUCAUGAAUAGAUAUUAUUCAUGAGUCAUGAACAAUGUUGUAAAAUGAUGUCCACUUCUAUAUUUUUGGAGAUGCCUAUGCAUUUAUUUUUAUUCUUUGUUUAAUAAACUUCAUUCAAACAUGA